rnacentral:rRNA from 1 species
CCUACGGGGUGCUGCAGUGGGGAAUAUUGGACAAUGGGCGAAAGCCUGAUCCAGCCAUGCCGCGUGUGUGAAGAAGGCCUUCGGGUUGUAAAGCACUUUCAGUGGGGAAGAAAGCCUUGGGGCUAAUACCCUCGAGGAAGGACAUCACCCACAGAAGAAGCACCGGCUGAACUCCGUGCCAGCAGCCGCGGUAAUACGGAGGGUGCGAGCGUUAAUCGGAAUUACUGGGCGUAAAGCGCGCGUAGGCGGUCUGAUAAGCCGGUUGUGAAAGCCCCGGGCUCAACCUGGGAACGGCAUCCGGAACUGUCAGGCUAGAGUGCAGGAGAGGAAGGUAGAAUUCCCGGUGUAGCGGUGAAAUGCGUAGAGAUCGGGAGGAAUACCAGUGGCGAAGGCGGCCUUCUGGACUGACACUGACGCUGAGGUGCGAAAGCGUGGGUAGCAAACAGGAUUAGAUACCCCUGUAGUC